rnacentral:ncRNA from 1 species
GGGUAGAGGAUGCAGAACUGAAGAGUAGAAUGUGUGAGGAUGACAACGAUGACCACAUUCGAAAGGCUGUUUUGCCGAAGUGGUGUGACAGAGUCGGCUGUCCACUGCUGGGGCUGUUCUAAAGAAGAGCAGCACUGUCAUCAUAAGGUUGGCUUAUGAUGGGGAGCUACAGA